ensembl:lncRNA
CGGUGCCCUGUGAGAGACGUACAGAUGUUGGUCAUGGUUUCAGGGCAUUAACCUGGAGGAGAGGAGGGAAGUGGUUUGUAAAGAAAACAUCAGGAGUCACAUCAUCAUCUUGUUCCCGUUGGGUUGCAAGGUUUGUUCAGGCAAAUUAACAGUUUGUUUUCCCACAAUUACAGAGGGCACUUUCGACCCCUAUUCUGCAUUCUAAUAGGUAACACUUCUGACCCCUGUACUGCAUUCUAAUAGGUAACACUUCUGGCCCCUGUACUGCAUUCUAAUAGGUAACACUUCUGACCCCUAUUCUGCAUUCUAAUAGGUAACACUUCUGACCCCUGUACUGCAUUCUAGUAGGUAACACUUCUGACCCCUAUUCUGCAUUCUAAUAGGUAACACUUCUGACCCCUAUUCUGCAUUCUAAUAGGUAACACUUCUGACCCCUGUACUGCACCCUAAUAGGUAACACUUCUGACCCCUGUACUUCAUUCUAAUAGGUAACACUUCUGACCCCUGUACUGCAUUCUAAUAGGUAACACUUCUGACCCCUGUACUGCAUUCUAAUAGGUAACACUUCUGACCCCUGUACUGCAUUAACCAGAGGCUGUCCCCUGCAUGUCCUCAACACCAUCAUUCCAGUCAUGUAGUGAACUUGACUGUACGUUUGUUUAUGUGUAACUCUGUUGUUUUUUGUCGUACUGCUUUGCUUUAUCUUGGUCAGGUCGCAGUUGUAAAUGAGAACUUGUUCUCAACUGGCCUCCCUGGUUAAAUAAAGGUGAAAUAAAAUCCUAAAUAGUGUAUCUCUGGCCCCCUCUCUGUGUGGCCUUAUCACAUGUCCAAUAUAUGAAAUCAUUCAAUAAGAUUCUCAACAACAACAAAAAAGAAUGUUACCAAAUGAUGUUACCUAAAUAUAAACCAUCAGGUUGGUGAAUCCCAUUGGUGUUUAUCAAGAGGGUUUCAGCAUGAAUGUUACCAAAGCUGAAUGAAAUGAUCCUAAAUAUAAACCAUCAAGUUGGUGAAUCCCAUUGGUGUUUAUCAAGAGGGUUUCAGCAUGAAUGUUACCAAAGCUGAAUGAAAUUAUCCUAAAUAUAAACCAUCAAGUUGGUGAAUCCCAUUGGUGUUUAUCAAGAGGGUUGAAUGUUAUUUUCCACACUACUUUGCCGACGUCUAACUAGACCGGAUCCAGAAUGACAUGUCUAGGUUAGGAAGGUUUCUCCCAGGGGACAGAAUGACAUGUCUAGGUUAGGAAGGUUUCUCCCAGGGGACAGA